AGUGAACGCUGGCGGUAGGCCUAACACAUGCAAGUCGAACGGCAGCACACUAAGAGCUUGCUCUUACGGGUGGCGAGUGGCGGACGGGUGAGGAAUACAUCGGAAUCUACUUUUUCGUGGGGGAUAACGUAGGGAAACUUACGCUAAUACCGCAUACGACCCACGGGUGAAAGAAGGGGAUCUUCGGACCUUGCGCGAUUGAAUGAGCCGAUGUCGGAUUAGCUAGUUGGCGGGGUAAAGGCCCACCAAGGCGACGAUCCGCAGCUGGUCUGAGAGGAUGAUCGGCCACACUGGAACUGAGACGCGGUCCAGACUCCUGAGGGAGGGAGCAGUGGGGAAUAUUGGACAGUGGGCGAAAGCCUGGUCCAGCCAUACCGCGUAUGUGAAGAAGGCCUUCGGGUUGUAAAGCCCUUUUGUUGGGGAAGAAAAGCAGCAGGUUAAUACCACGCUGUUCUGACGGUACCCAAAGAAUAAGCACCGGCUAACUUCGUG
rnacentral:rRNA from 1 species